AGAGUUCCCUUUUAAGCUCAAAAAUUUUAGUCUUAUUGGGGGUACCAUAUCUUUUUUCAAGCUGAGACCACAUACUUUGAGCAGUAUCAGAAUAUUGAACACUAUCAACAAUUUGGGAUGACAGAGAAGAAGUCAACCAGGAAAAUAACUAACAUAUACACCUAUCCCAUAGCCUCUGUUGGGUCACGUUAGUACUAGGCCGAGAAAAGGAACCAUCAAUGUAACAAAUUUUGUUCUUAGCAGACAAAGCCAUAAUCAUCUUACGUUUCCAACCUCCAUAACCAC
rnacentral:lncRNA from 1 species